AAGAGACUCACACCAGGAUUUCUUCGUUAGAAUGCCAGUCAACGAAAAGUUCAUAAUCCUUUCAGAUUUUAAAUUCUGUGUCUGUGCAGAGGAAAACCAUUUAGCAGUUUGGACAAUUGGAAAAGAAGAUUACACCAGACUUUGUCUAUAAAGAUUGAAGGGAAGGGAGAAAAUAUGUAGAUAUAUGGGCCAGAAUAUGCAAAAACAGAAACAGAAGCUUUGGGAAAGACGCAACGCGGAGACAACUACAAUCGUACUGCAUGAGUUUGAGCAAGCUGUGGGAGUUGGUGAUGGACUGGAAAGCCUGGCGUGCUGCAGUCCAUGGGAUUGCAGAGUCGGACACAACUGAGCGACUGAACUGAACUGAGUACUGCAUGGGCUAUAUAGUACAUUUAAAAUAAUGUAUAAUGUUAAGCACCUUUGUGUUCAUUCUUUCUGACAUAACAUGGAUUCUAGUACUUCCCUCUCAAUCAUGAUGCUCUAUUUUAGGUGUAAUACCUAUACUUGAUCAUGUUAAGGAGAUACCAUCAUUUCUUAUUUUAUAAAGUGCCUUUU
rnacentral:lncRNA from 1 species